UGUAUCCCAGUCACAUCAAAAGGAUGCCACUUGGCAGGGAAACUACUGGGAGAAAGUGCAAGGAGAUGAAUAUGAAGAAGUGCCUAGGUAAGAAACACAGUUGCAAAGGUUAGUAAAUCCCUCUGAACUCUGCUCCAUUCCUGCUCUAUAUCCCAGUGUACAACUGAUUCUCAAAGCAGACACACUGGUUCUCAAAGGAAAGAGCAGAGACAGACAGUAUGGCAGGAGAAAUACAGUCAAGCAAUGCAACUCCAAACAAUAUCUGUUCCAAGAGAAUUUUGCCCGUUACUAUCACUGGCAAACCUGUAAAGCACAGACAAGAAACAGUACUUAAGAAACUGGACUGUAGUAGAGCAGGUAUUUCAUCCGGCAUCAUUACAGGCAACAAAGGAAAACAAUCUGUUGAGUUCACUUCUUUUUGGAUUGGCCUGCUGCUGAAGAACUACUGCAAUUUAGGAAUAUCUGAGACGUGGAGUAUAUAAACAGAGAAAAUGCAGAUGAAAUAUUGAGUUGACAGAAGUCA